GGCAGACGGGAGAGUAACACGUGGGAACGCGCCCUUCGGUUCGGAAUAACUCAGGGAAACUUGGGCUAAUACCGAAUACGCCCUUACGGGGAAAGAUUUAUUGCCGAAGGAACGGCCCGCGUCCGAUUAGCUUGUUGGUGAGGUAACGGCUCACCAAGGCGACGAUCGGUAGCUGGUCUGAGAGGAUGACCAGCCUCACUGGGACUGAGACACGGCCCAGACUCCUACGGGAGGCAGCAGUGGGGAAUAUUGGACAAUGGGCGCAAGCCUGAUCCAGCCAUGCCGCGUGGGUGAUGAAGGCCCUAGGGUUGUAAAGCCCUUUCGGCGGGGAAGAUAAUGACGGUACCCGCAGAAGAAGCCCCGGCUAACUUCGUGCCAGCAGCCGCGGUAAUACGAAGGGGGCUAGCGUUGCUCGGAAUUACUGGGCGUAAAGCGCACGUAGGCGGCUUCUUAAGUCGGAGGUGAAAUCCUGGAGCUCAACUCCAGAACUGCCUUCGAUACUGGGAAGCUCGAGUCCGGGAGAGGUGAGUGGAACUGC
rnacentral:rRNA from 1 species